UGCGUAGGCGGAAGUAUAAGUCAGGGUGAAAGUUUGUGGCUCAACCAUAAAAUUGCCUUUGAUACUGUAUUUCUUGAGUACAUUUGAGGUAGGCGGAAUGUGUUGUGUAGCGGUGAAAUGCUUAGAUAUAACACAGAACACCGAUUGCGAAGGCAGCUUACUAAACUGUAACUGACGCUGAUGCACGAAAGCGUGGGAUCGAACA
rnacentral:rRNA from 1 species